rnacentral:rRNA from 1 species
UGGGGAAUUUUACGCAAUGGGGGAAACCCUGACGUAGCGACACCGCGUGAGCGAAGAGGCCCCUUGGGGGUGUAAAGCUCUGUCAGCUGGAACGAAACAAAUGACGGUACCAGCAGAGGAAGCAUCGGCUAACUACGUGCCAGCAGCCGCGGUAAGACGUAGGAUGCGAGCGUUGUCCGGAUUUAUUGGGCGUAAAGAGUUCGUAGGUGGUUUGUUAAGUUUGAUGUUAAAGAUCGGGGCUCAACCUCGGGACAGCAUUGAAUACUGGCAGACUUGAGUAUGGUAGAGGCUAGUGGAAUUCCCAGUGUAGCGGUGAAAUGCGUAGAUAUUGGGAGAACACCGGUGGCGUAGGCGACUAGCUGGGCCAUAACUGACGCUGGGAACGAAAGCCAGGGGGGAGCGAAAAGGGAUUAGAUACCCCUGUAAGUCCUGGCCGUAAACGAUGGAUACUAGGCAGUAUCGGGUAUCGACCCCUGAUGUGCCGGCAGCUAACGCGAUAAGUAUCCCGCCUGAGUAGUACGGCCGCAAGGUUGAAACUCAAAGGAA